rnacentral:tRNA from 1 species
GCCGGCAUGGUGGAAUUGGUAUACACGAGGGUCUCAAAAACCCUUCUAGUUAAGUGGGUGCGGGUUCGAGUCCUGCUGUCGGCA